rnacentral:rRNA from 1 species
AUUGAACGCUGGCGGCAUGCCUUACACAUGCAAGUCGAACGGCAGCACGGGUGCUUGCACCUGGUGGCGAGUGGCGAACGGGUGAGUAAUACAUCGGAACAUGUCCUGUUGUGGGGGAUAGCCCGGCGAAAGCCGGAUUAAUACCGCAUACGAUCUACGGAUGAAAGCGGGGGACCUUCGGGCCUCGCGCUAUAGGGUUGGCCGAUAGCUGAUUAGCUAGUUGGUGGGGUAAAGGCCUACCAAGGCGACGAUCAGUAGCUGGUCUGAGAGGACGACCAGCCACACUGGGACUGAGACACGGCCCAGACUCCUACGGGAGGCAGCAGUGGGGAAUUUUGGACAAUGGGCGAAAGCCUGAUCCAGCAAUGCCGCGUGUGUGAAGAAGGCCUUCGGGUUGUAAAGCACUUUUGUCCGGAAAGAAAUCCUUGGCUCUAAUACAGUCGGGGGAUGACGGUACCGGAAGAAUAAGCACCGGCUAACUACGUG